rnacentral:rRNA from 1 species
UACACUCCUGCGGGAGGCAGCAGUGGGGAAUAUUGGACAAUGGGCGCAAGCCUGAUCCAGCCAUGCCGCGUGAGUGAUGAAGGCCCUAGGGUUGUAAAGCUCUUUCACCGGUGAAGAUAAUGACGGUAACCGGAGAAGAAGCCCCGGCUAACUUCGUGCCAGCAGCCGCGGUAAUACGAAGGGGGCUAGCGUUGUUCGGAUUUACUGGGCGUAAAGCGCACGUAGGCGGACUAUUAAGUCAGGGGUGAAAUCCCGGGGCUCAACCCCGGAACUGCCUUUGAUACUGGUAGUCUUGAGUUCGAGAGAGGUGAGUGGAAUUCCGAGUGUAGAGGUGAAAUUCGUAGAUAUUCGGAGGAACACCAGUGGCGAAGGCGGCUCACUGGCUCGAUACUGACGCUGAGGUGCGAAAGCGUGGGGAGCAAACAGGAUUAGAAACCCGAGUAGUCCCA